AUUUGGUUGCUCAGUUGGUAGAGCAAAAGUCUCUUAAUCUCAGGGUUGUGGGUUUGAGCCCCACACUGGGCA